GAUGAACGCUGGCGGCGUGCUUAACACAUGCAAGUCGAACGAUGAAGCCCAGCUUGCUGGGUGGAUUAGUGGCGAACGGGUGAGUAACACGUGAGUAACCUGCCCUUAACUCUGGGAUAAGCCUGGGAAACUGGGUCUAAUACCGGAUAGGAGCGUCCACCGCAUGGUGGGUGUUGGAAAGAUUUAUCGGUUUUGGAUGGACUCGCGGCCUAUCAGCUUGUUGGUGAGGUAAUGGCUCACCAAGGCGACGACGGGUAGCCGGCCUGAGAGGGUGACCGGCCACACUGGGACUGAGACACGGCCCAGACUCCUACGGGAGGCAGCAGUGGGGAAUAUUGCAUAAUGGGCGCAAGCCUGAUGCAGCGACGCCGCGUGAGGGAUGACGGCCUUCGGGUUGUAAACCUCUUUCAGUAGGGAAGAAGCGAAAGUGACGGUACCUGCAGAAGAAGCACCGGCUAACUACGUG
rnacentral:rRNA from 1 species